AUUGAACGCUGGCGGCAUGCCUUACACAUGCAAGUCGAACGGCAGCACGGGAGCUUGCUCCUGGUGGCGAGUGGCGAACGGGUGAGUAAUACAUCGGAACAUGCCCAGUCGUGGGGGAUAACACUUCGAAAGAAGUGCUAAUACCGCAUACGUCCUGAGGGAGAAAGCGGGGGAUCGCAAGACCUCGCGCGAUUGGAGUGGCCGAUGUCAGAUUAGCUAGUUGGUGGGUAAAGGCUACCAAGGCAACGAUCUGUAGCUGGUCUGAGAGGAUGAUCAGCCACACUGGGACUGAGACACGGUCCAGACUCCUACGGGAGGCAGCAGUGGGGAAUUUUGGACAAUGGGGGCAACCCUGAUCCAGCCAUUCCGCGUGAGUGAAGAAGGCC
rnacentral:rRNA from 1 species